GAUGAACGCUGGCGGCGUGCCUAAUACAUGCAAGUCGAGCGAACAGACGAGGAGCUUGCUCCUCUGACGUUAGCGGCGGACGGGUGAGUAACACGUGGAUAACCUACCUAUAAGACUGGGAUAACUUCGGGAAACCGGAGCUAAUACCGGAUAAUAUAUUGAACCGCAUGGUUCAAUAGUGAAAGACGGUUUUGCUGUCACUUAUAGCUGGAUCCGCGCCGCAUUAGCUAGUUGGUAAGGUAACGGCCUACCAAGGCAACGAUGCGUAGCCGACCGGAGAGGGUGAUCGGCCACACGGGAACGGGGACGCGGUCCAGACUCCUACGAGAGGCAGCAGUAGGGAAUCUUACGCAAUGGGCGAAAACCUUACGGAGCAACGCCGAGCGAGAGACGACGGUCUUCGGAUCGUAAAAAUCUGUUAUGAGGGAAGAACAAAUGUGGAAGGAAAUAUGCCCGGCUUGACGGUACCUAGUCAGAAAGCCCCGGCUAACUACGUG
rnacentral:rRNA from 1 species